ensembl:misc_RNA Metazoa_SRP Metazoan signal recognition particle RNA
GCCUGGCGCGGUGGCGCACGCCUGUCGUUCCAGCUACUUGGGAGGCUGAGACAGGAGGAUCGCUUGAAUCCAGGAGUUCUGGGCUGUAGUGCGCUAUGCCGAUCGGGUGUCUGCACUAAAGUUCGGCAUCAAUAUGGUGACCUCCCAGGAGCCGGCGGCCACCAGGUUGCCUAAGGAGGAGGAGUUCUAUACCAUGCAUUGUUUGUGCUAAAUUUCCUCACAUAUGAUGCUACAGGAAAAUCAGCCGAGGAUCGCCUCUGUCAUCCAUCAACGGCUCAAAAUUAUGCUCAGGCCUUAU